rnacentral:rRNA from 1 species
GCUCCUCGCGCCAUCAGAUCCUACGGAGGCAGCAUGGGGAAUAUUGGACAAUGGCGAAAGCCUGAUCCAGCAAUGCCGCGUGAGUGAUGAAGGCCUUAGGGUUGUAAAGCUCUUUCAGUUGGGAAGAUAAUGACGGUACCAACAGAAGAAGCCCGGCUAACUUCGUGCAGCCGCCGCGGUAAUAC